UAUAAUUUGAUCUUCUGUAUUUAAAACUGUACAUUUGCAUACUGAAAUUGUUUUAAUAAGAGAUGUGUUAGUUAGGCAUUGCUAAACACAUAUUAUGUCCCUGAGUAAUAGUUCAGUAUCUAUUACUGCAGUAAAAGAGCUCCAAGACACAAGAAUGGGAUAGCAAAAAGAGGAUCUUCCCAAAUCCAUGCAACCCAAGUACUGUCAGAAUCAUUCUCUAAGUAUGUGCUGCUUCAGUAUGUGGUUUUUAAUCAUUAAAAAGUGCAGUCUUUUGUAACUUGAAGAUAAGGAGUUUAAUGAGAAUUUUUGUGAAUGUAUUACUUUCCUGUUACAAUACUUGGAACACUGUUAAUCCUGUGUCCCCAAAACCAGGACAUCCUAGUAAAGCAGCAAAUGGAAUGUAACGAUGAAUGGAACUGAAAGGAUAUAGUCCUCCUCUAUGGAAAAAAAAAAUACUACAGAGCUGGCUGGAGAAAACUGAUAAAGAGGAAAUGAAGCAGGGGAACAGAAAAACAAAGUGAGAAAUGAAAUCCAAGUUUCUAAUGCAACGAUGUAAUGCCAAGAAACUGCUCCAGAGAAAAUGAGUAACUGCCAGCUUUUCUACCUGUUGCCAAGAAAAUGUUGCUGUGUUCACUGAUCCUGUAAUUAAACUGAGUAUGUUCUGAAACAACUUCUUCUGAAUUGUGCCAUCUUCUGUGAAGGGGGAGAGAGCUUCAUUCCUAUAAUACGCCAGUAGAAAGAUGGUUCUUCUCUAAAAAAUUUCUUUAAAGAAAAAAAGUAACACUUGGAAAGAGAAAUCUUACUGCCUACAGACCUUUGGAGGGAAGCACAGAACUGAAAUUUGCAUUGUUCAAAAUACUCACGUGCAGAGCAAAAAGUUUUAAUAGCUAUCCUUUAAUAUCCUACAAAAACAGCAGUCUUGCUGACUUCUGCUGUUUUGUCAACAUUUUAAAAUGUGACAUUAAUUGUAGUGUCUUAUAGCAAUUUCUGGCUAAGAUUUUUAAUAAAUUUAAGUUAUUGCUAUUAUCCAUGCUGGUCAAGGUAUUUGUAUACAAGUAUGUCAAUAAACCAGAUCAUACCAGUAUAA